rnacentral:rRNA from 1 species
UACAUGGGGUGCAAACGUUGCUCGGAAUUAUUGGGCGUAAAGCGCACGUAGGCGGUUCGUUAAGUCGGAUGUGAAAGCCCUCGGCUCAACUGAGGAAGUGCACCCGAAACUGGCGAGCUUGAGUACGAAAGAGGAUCGCGGAAUUCCCGGUGUAGAGGUGAAAUGCGCAGAUAUCGGGAGGAACACCGGUGGCGAAGGCGGGUCUCUGGACAGUUCCUGACGCUGAGGCACGAAGGCCAGGGAGCAAACGGGA